rnacentral:tRNA from 1 species
GGGACGGUAGCUCAAUCUGGGACCUGCCGAGCUUGCGAGGCUCGCGGCAGUAAAGAGCACACGGCUGAAGACCGUGGGGUUCGGGGUUCAAAUCCCCGCCGUCCCA